rnacentral:rRNA from 1 species
AGAGUGAACGCUGGCGGUAGGCCUAACACAUGCAAGUCGAACGGCAGCACAGUGGUAGCAAUACCAUGGGUGGCGAGUGGCGGACGGGUGAGGAAUACAUCGGAAUCUACCUUUUCGUGGGGGAUAACGUAGGGAAACUUACGCUAAUACCGCAUACGCCCUUCGGGGAAAGCCGGGACCAGCAAUGGCCUGGCGCUGAUAGAUGAGCCGAUGUCGGAUUAGCUAGUUGGUGAGGUAAUGGCUCACCAAGGCGACGAUCCGUAGCUGGUCUGAGAGGAUGAUCAGCCACACUGGAACUGAGACACGGUCCAGACUCCUACGGGAGGCAGCAGUGGGGAAUAUUGGACAAAUGGGCGAAAGCCUGACGCAGCCACGCCGCGUGAAUGAUGAAGGUCUUAGGUUGUAAAAUUCUUCACCGGGACGA